rnacentral:lncRNA from 1 species
AAACUGUCUAAUUCUCGGCACUCAGCCACCAACGUGCACUCGGCCCACUUCCGGAAACCAGUUACACCGGAAGUCGGCUGCACUUCCAUUAUACGACACCAUGUGGCGCUGCGUUCUCGCGAGAGUUAAUGCGCUUCAUGUAAACGGCGUCGCAUCGCCUCUGCCAAAUGCGCUUGGAAAUGCGAUGCGCCAC